AUGAAUGGAUAUAAAAACCAGGGAGCCUGGCCAGAGUUCUCUGGAGCCUUCCGUUCCAUCCAUUCAGAGCCGUCGCCGUCAUCUGAUGACAGUGGUCAUCUGUGGCCAUUGCUGAACUCUUACUGAUACAAACUGUUGUUAAAGGGUUAGGGAGCUUGUCUUGCUUCAUAAAGGGACAGGCUGAUAGAAUUUCUAAAGGAAACUGAGACUCAAACAACAUUUUGGUCUUUUCCUUUGAACUCGUGGUGCAGAUAAUGCCUGCUUGAAGGAUCUCAGUGAUUUGUUCUUUUUUUAGACAGCCAGUUCUCUAGUCAAGUUUUGAAAGGCUUGGGAAAACAUGUGAUUUUUUUUUUUUUAAUAUCCUGGAGUAUUUUUCCAGGCCUGGGCAGCUCGUGGGUCAAUGCACAGCUAUUUCCGUAUGUGGCUAGGGUGGGAGAGCAUGGUCAGGUCACCGAGGGCCACCCCCCCCCAACCUCUUAGCUGGUGGUUGCACGGAAAUGUUCCCUCCCUCUUCCUGCUGCUCCUCACAUAGACCUGCAGAUUUGUCUUCCAGACCCACUUCUGCCCGCACCCGCUGCCUGGUUCUGAUUCCGAGCCCUGAUCCCUUUGCAUUGUAAACGCCUGGACUUCCCACACCCAGUGUUGCAGACAGGUGGAAAACAAAGCCCUCAGCGUGUUUCUGAAGAGGUCUGGAAAUCUGCAUGUCACCCCGUGACCGUGCAUGUCAUCCCGUGACCGUGCAGCAGCAAACCACAAGUGGUUAAUGGGACAAACGUUCCUUUUGUGAGGUCAGAGCACAAACACGGCCCAGGCACUGCCUAGAAACCACACAAAAGAAGGGAUGCUGCAAGCCACCCUCCAGCACCGUUGCUGAAAACACGGCACCUGGCAGCACCCGCCGAGUGGCUGAGUGCCUGCCACUGCAUGCAGGGCUACUCCAAAUGUGACUAUCUGUCAAAAACUGCCUGAUGGGGAGUGGAGCCCACGGCAGACACGCAAACCCAUAAGAAAAGCCUGCUUGAAACAGCUUGAACAGUGCACUCUCUAUGUCCCACCCCCUGCAAACAGUAAGUGGCAUCGCAUGUCUCUCUAACCACUUUUUACCUCAGCUACAUCUCUAUAUACUUUUCUUCCAAGCAUGAGCCACCAAACCCCGCUAAAUGUUUUCCUUUAUGAAGAAACUGAUGCUAACUUAAUUGAUUUCUCCGUUUAUUUUGUUAGCCAAAUAAAAAUCAAGCUACCCUC